rnacentral:miRNA from 3 species
AAAUACUGCCUGGUAAUGAUGC